AGUGAACGCUGGCGGUAGGCCUAACACAUGCAAGUCGAACGGCAGCACAGUAAGAGCUUGCUCUUACGGGUGGCGAGUGGCGGACGGGUGAGGAAUACAUCGGACUCUACUUUUUCGGGGGGGAUAACGUAGGGAAACUUACGCUAAUACCGCAUACGACCUACGGGUGAAAGCAGGGGAACUUCGGACCUUGCGCGAUUGAAUGAGCCGAUGUCGGAUUAGCUAGUUGGCGGGGUAAAGGCCCACCCAGGGGACGAUCCGUAGCUGGUCUGAGAGGAUGGUCAGCGACACUGGAACUGAGACACGGUCCAGACUCCUACGGGAGGCAGCAGUGGGGAAUAUUGGACAAUGGGCGCAAGCCUGAUCCAGCCAUACCGCGUGGGUGAAGAAGGCCUUCGGGUUGUAAAGCCCUUUUGUUGGGAAAGAAAAGCAGCAGGUUAAUACCCAGCUGUUCUGACGGUACCCAAAGAAUAAGCACCGGCUAACUUCGUG
rnacentral:rRNA from 1 species